ACUUUCGGGAUAGCAUUUGAAAUGUAAAUAAAGAAAAUAUCUAAUAAAAAUUGGGAAAAAAAGAACCCUCAAUAUGCCCUAGAAGAGCACACAGCAUCCAACAGAAUAAAGCAAAACAAAACAAAACAAAACAAGCAAGCAAAAAGAACUCUUUCAGUAAUGUCGCUAAUACCUCUAGACCUGCCAGAGAAAACUUUGGUUUCCAUACCCACUACCUUGCAUGAUGACCAAUAUCCUGGUUUGGAUAUUAAAUUAUGUGGUUGCUGUUAACGGUUUGCAUAUGACCCAUUUCCCCAGGGGCUGCUGUAUUUGAGCACUGUAUCUCCAUCUGGUGCUGUUGUUGGGAAGGGUAUGUAACAUUCAGAGGCAGAGCCUUGCUGGAGGAAGAAUAUCAUUCCAGUUGGGCAUUGAGGUUCCAUAGCCUAGCUCCAUUUACUGUCCCCUGAGAUGAGUGCAGGGAAGCCAGCCAGAUCACUGCUCCUGCUGCUGUGCCUUCCCUGACAAUUACCACAGUCUUCCUUACUAGGAUCAAGUCUAUCCCCCUGGGGCUAUGAAACAAGUCAUUUUUUGUCAGACUACUUUCUCACAGCAACAAAGAAGAAACAAAUAUGGAGGGCCUUCUCUUGGACUAUCUCAGAAAGUUGAGGAAAACCAGGAAGCAUGCUUCUAAUGAUGAAGGACUUGGAGGGAGUGAUGUUCUCCAUUGAAGUGGCUGCAGUUGCCUAAAGCAGACCCAGUAAAGAAUGCAGAGUGGAACUAUGAGCUAGUAGCACCAGGG
rnacentral:lncRNA from 1 species